rnacentral:rRNA from 1 species
GACGAACGCUGGCGGCGUGCUUAACACAUGCCAGUCGAACGGAAAGGCCCUGCUUUUGUUGGAUUCUCGAGUGGCGAACGGAUGAGUAACACGUGAGUACCCUGCCCUUGAAUUUGGGAUAACUUCAGGAAACUGGGGCUAAUACCUGAUAGGAGCUCCUGCUGCAUGGUGGGGGUUGGAAAGUUUCGGCGGUUGGGGAUGGACUCGGGGCUUAUCAGCUUGGUGGUGGGGUAGUGGUUUACCAAGGCUUUGACGGGUAGCCGGCGUGAGAGGGUGACCGGCCACAUUGGGACUGAGAUACGGCCCAGACUCCUACGGGAGGCAGCAGUGGGGAAUAUUGCACAAUGGGCGGAAGCCUGAUGCAGCAACGCCGCGUGCGGGAUGACGGCCUUCGGGUUGUAAACCGCUUUCGCCUGUGACGAUGCGUGAGUGACGGUAAUGGGUAAAGAAGCACCGGCUAACUACGUG